rnacentral:rRNA from 1 species
GACGAACGCUGGCGGCGUGCUUAACACAUGCAAGUCGAACGGAAAGGCCCUGCUUUUGUGGGGUUCUCGAGUGGCGAACGGGUGAGUAACACGUGAGUAACCUGCCCUUGACUUUGGGAUAACUUCAGGAAACUGGGGCUACUACCGGAUAGGAGCUCCUGCUGCAUUGUGGGGGUUGGAAAGUUUCGGCGGGUGGGGAUGGACUCGCGGCUUAUCAGCUUGUUGGUGGGGUAGUGGCUUACCAAGGCUUUGACGGGUAGCCGGCCUGAGAGGGUGACCGGCCACAUUGGGACUGAGAUACGGCCCAGACUCCUACGGGAGGCAGCAGUGGGGAAUAUUGCACAAUGGGCGGAAGCCUGAUGCAGCAACGCCGCGUGCGGGAUGACGGCCUUCGGGUUGUAAACCGCUUUCGCCUGUGACGAAGCGUGAGUGACGGUAAUGGGUAAAGAAGCACCGGCUAACUACGUG